CCCUGUCGGCUUGGUCACCGUCAUCAUCAUCAUCGUUACGUGUCCAUGAGUUUUUAUUCAGCUCAUGCUCGAGUAAAAUGUGGCUUGGGUCGAUGUGGGAAUCAUCUGAGAAGCUUUGGAGAAUACGGGAAGUUGAUUGAAGAUCAAAAGACUGGAUUUUGACAUGGGGAUCACAUGGUGUUGCGAAAUAGAAAGUGUUGCAGGAAGCAUCAAAGUGGUUCCUUGAACGAAGAAUGGGAUGAUAAACUUGGAGCCUGGAAAGGGCCGCUUCAAGAACUGAGAUGUCGGGCUCAUUACAGAGGAGGAGGGACAAGACUGUGAUGCCAGUGCCGCCAGGCACGGCUCGGCACCAGCUGUACUCGGA